AUUCCUUUAUGAGGUGCAACCAAAACAGUUGUUAGAAAGAGCAACCGGGAUAUUCUGGCAGGCUGUCGAGAAUUAGUUCUUGAAUACUGUUGUGGUUUUGAUCACUAAAAUGGCUGUGACUUUUGGACUCUCUUUGAGUGUUUCUUGGAUUUGUUGCCUGCUAAUUGGAGGGAUAACUUGUUUUACACUUAAAGGUAACGCUCAUGGGCAUCCUGCCUACACUGGACCUGAACCAACUGGAUCCUAUGCCCAAGCAAGUGCGGUGUCUGGUCCAAAUGCUAAAGCUACUGGCCACAAUGCCACGUCAGCAGAAGCUU